rnacentral:rRNA from 2 species
AUGCCCAGCUUGCUGGGUGGAUUAGUGGCGAACGGGUGAGUAACACGUGAGUAACCUGCCCCUGACUCUGGGAUAAGCGUUGGAAACGACGUCUAAUACUGGAUAUGAUCACUGGCCGCAUGGUCUGGUGGUGGAAAGAUUUUUUGGUUGGGGAUGGACUCGCGGCCUAUCAGCUUGUUGGUGAGGUAAUGGCUCACCAAGGCGACGACGGGUAGCCGGCCUGAGAGGGUGACCGGCCACACUGGGACUGAGACACGGCCCAGACUCCUACGGGAGGCAGCAGUGGGGAAUAUUGCACAAUGGGCGAAAGCCUGAUGCAGCAACGCCGCGUGAGGGAUGACGGCCUUCGGGUUGUAAACCUCUUUUAGUAGGGAAGAAGCGAAAGUGACGGUACCUGCAGAAAAAGCACCGGCUAACUACGUGCCAGCAGCCGCGGUAAUACGUAGGGUGCAAGCGUUGUCCGGAAUUAUUGGGCGUAAAGAGCUCGUAGGCGGUUUGUCGCGUCUGCUGUGAAAUCCCGAGGCUCAACCUCGGGCUUGCAGUGGGUACGGGCAGACUAGAGUGCGGUAGGGGAGAUUGGAAUUCCUGGUGUAGCGGUGGAAUGCGCAGAUAUCAGGAGGAACACCGAUG